AACGAACGCUGGCGGCAUGCCUAACACAUGCAAGUCGAACGAAACCUUCGGGUCUAGUGGCGCACGGGUGCGUAACGCGUGGGAACCUGCCCUUAGGUUCGGAAUAACUCCCCGAAAGGGGUGCUAAUACCGGAUAAUGUCUUCGGACCAAAGAUUUAUCGCCUUUGGAUGUGCCCGCGUUGGAUUAGCUCGUUGGUAGGGUAAAAGCCUACCAAGGCGACGAUCCAUAGCUGGUCUGAGAGGAUGAUCAGCCACACUGGGACUGAGACACGGCCCAGACUCUUACGGGAGGCAGCAGUGGGGAAUAUUGGACAAUGGGCGAAAGCCUGAUCCAGCAAUGACGCGUGAGUGAUGAAGGCCUUAGGGUUGUAAAGCUCUUUUAACCGGGAUGAUAAUGACAGUACCGGGAGAAUAAGCCCCGGCUAACUCCGUG
rnacentral:rRNA from 1 species